rnacentral:lncRNA from 1 species
AUGGGUAAGGGGGGGUGUGCGCUUCCUGCCCUUCGCCAAGCCCCAGGGAGGGGUCCCGGUGCUGCUCCCUGCCUCGUCCCUGCCCUGCGGUGCCGGGGAAGCACAAGGGGCUGCAGCCAAACCCUCCCCAAGCAGGCUGGGGGGCUCCCCGUGUGCCCCCCCCGGGGCAGGGAGCUCAGCCUGGAGCUGCUGGUGCCACCCUGGCCCCUCCUGCAGGGCUGGUUUUGGGGUGUUCCCACCUGGCUGCAGGGCUGGGGGCUGCGAGCUUUGCUUCUUCGGCUGCGCACGGCUUCGGGGGGGCUUUUUGGGGGGCGCGGGGUGCCACAGCAGAGCUUUGGCCCCAGCCCCAGCCCGGCGAGGCUCUCCUGCAGCUGCUUUCCCCGAGAGGCACCCGGAAAAACCUGGGACACCUCCAGCACCCCUGGUGCAGCCCCAGCCCCCUGCGGUGCCCCCUUUUUUUGUGGCUGCUCCGCUCCAGGGCAGGGGGGACACAAACACACACGACCCCAUGCCGCAGCCAGGCUUCUCCUCGCACACCUCGGCUCCGCGGGAGGCUGGCGGAGGGGCCGUGCUGCUCCCCACCCCUUUUCCCCGGCUCUAAAAGCAAAGCUUUGUUCUCGCGGAGCCCUGGCUGCCGGCCGGCUGUCCGCCAGCCAGAUGGAAAGGCGCGAGGGGCUCUCCUCCCUUCCCCUCUCGCUCCCUCUCCGGAUCUCGCCCCGGGUCCCCCGCUGGAGCUGUGCCAGGCGCUGGGUGCCGCGCUCGGGCUGCUCCAUAACGGGGUUGGAAGCUCCCAGCCCUGCCCCGGUGGCCCCAAGGGGACCGCAGCGGGGUGCGUGGGUGCGUCACCGUGUCCCCAAAACCCACCCUUCCCUCGCUCCGGGCUGCGGGUCGUGCCCAGGGGCUGCACGAGGGGCGCUUGCGUCCCCCCCUCUGCUUCCAGCAGCACUCGGGGUGUCGCUGGGUGCUCCCAAAAGGGCUGGCGAGCCCUUCUGGGGGGAGCAGGGAGGGGGCUGCAGCCCCCGUGUCCGCCUCCUCAAGGGCAGCGGCCGGGUAGGAGGGUGCCUGGUGCCAGCCGCGGAUGCCAGCCAUUCCCCAGCUCUGAGCUCAUGCUUCUGCUGCUUUUGCCGCCAGGACGAGGGCUCGAGGGCUCCCGCUCCCAGCGGUUCAGCAGCUCCCAUCUCCCAGGGGUGGCCCUGCCCGGGACCCUACUGGGGGUUUGGGAACAGCGGGGGGCAGCGGCAGCGGCUGGGGUGCGCCCCUGGUGUGCACGGGGCUGGGGGUGGCCGGUGUCAUGCCCAGGUGCCUCCGGUGCGAAGUUUUUCUUUCCCGUGUGCCUGGUCCAGUUUCCUGACGCCGCUGCCUGUUUAUCUUUGGGGCUUUCACCUGUUUUUUUUUUUCUGCCUCCUCCUUUCCUGCCCCGCUUUGCUUCUUGUCCCUCUUCGCCUGGUGCACCGGGCACACGGAGAGCCGGGAGCCAGGGGCCGGCUUUUGGGGUGCCCCGGCGGGGCUGGCGACGUGAGGCAGCACCUCUGCUGUGACAGAAGGGCUCCCGGCUGCGUGUCGGGGCUGUGCCACCGCGUACCCACUUCAGAUAAAGAGCAUAUCACAGACAGGGCGCUGCCCUUUGAAGUUCCCUCCCUGGCGAGGCUGAGCAGCUGA